AUUGAACGCUGGCGGCAUGCCUUACACAUGCAAGUCGAAUGGCAGCACGGGUGCUUGCACCUGGUGGCGAGUGGCGAACGGGUGAGUAAUAUAUCGGAACGUACCUUAUUGUGGGGGAUAACGCAGCGAAAGCUGUGCUAAUACCGCGUAAUCCCUAAGGGGGAAAGCGGGGGACCGUAAGGCCUCGCGCAAUUAGAGCGGCCGAUGCCUGAUUAGCUAGUUGGUGAGGUAAAGGCUCACCAAGGCAACGAUCAGUAGCUGGUCUGAGAGGACGAUCAGCCACACUGGGACUGAGACACGGCCCAGACUCCUACGGGAGGCAGCAGUGGGGAAUUUUGGACAAUGGGGGCAACCCUGAUCCAGCAAUGCCGCGUGGGUGAAGAAGGCCUUCGGGUUGUAAAGCUCUUUUGUCAGGGAAGAAACAGCAGCUCUAACACAGUUUGCGAAUGACGGUACCUGAAGAAUAAGCACCGGCUAACUACGUGCCAGCAGCCGCGGUAA
rnacentral:rRNA from 1 species